UUUUUGCCCUGUCUGUUGGUUAGUCUGUUGGUUGGUUUGGGCCAACUUUAACAUUUUGCAAUAACUUUUGCUAUAUUGAAUAUAGCAACUUGAUAUUUGGCAUGCAUGUGUAUCUCAUGGAGCUGCACAUUUUGAGUGGUGAAAGGUCAAGGUCAUCCUUCAAGGUCAGAGGUCAAAUAGAUGUGGCCAAAAUUGCUCAUUUUAUGAAUACUUUUGCAAUAUUGAAGAUAGCAACUUGAUAUUUGGCAUGCAUGUGUAUCUCAUGGAGCUGCACAUUUUGAGUGGUGAAAGGUCAAGAUCAAGGUCAUCCUUCAAGGUCAGAGGUCAAAUAUAUGUGGCCAAAAUCGCUCAUUUUAUGAAUACUUUUGCAAUAUUGAAGAUAGCAACUUGAUAUUUGGCAUGCAUGUGUAUCUCAUGGAGCUGCACAUUUUGAGUGGUGAAAGGUCAAGGUCAUCCUUCAAGGUCAGAGGUCAAAUAUGUGGCCCAAAUCGCUUAUUUUUUGAAUACUUUUGCAAUAUUGAAGAUAGCAACUUGAUAUUUGGCAUGCAUGUGUAACUUAUGGAGCUGCACAUUUUGAGUGGUGAAAGGUCAAGGUCAUCCUUCAAGGUCAGAGGUCAAAUAUAUGUGGCCCAAAUCGCUUAUUUUAUUAAUACUUUUGCAAUAUUGAAGAUAGCAACUUGAUAUUUGGCAUGCAUGUGUAUCUCAUGGAGCUGCACAUUUUGAGUGGUGAAAGGUCAAGGUCAAGGUCAUCCUUCAAGGUCAAAUAUAUGGGUCAAAAUUGCUCAUGUGAUGUCACUUCUGCAAUAUUGAAGCUAGCAAUUUUAUAUUUGAAAUGCAUGUGUAUCUCAUGGAGCUGCACAUUUUGAGUGGUGAAGGGUCAAGGUCAUCCUUCAAGGUCAAACGUCAUAUAAGGGGACAUUGUGUUUCACAAACACAU